UGGGGAAUUUUGGACAAUGGGCGAAAGCCUGAUCCAGCAAUGCCGCGUGUGUGAAGAAGGCCUUCGGGUUGUAAAGCACUUUUGUCCGGAAAGAAAUCCUUGGCUCUAAUACAGUCGGGGGAUGACGGUACCGGAAGAAUAAGCACCGGCUAACUACGUGCCAGCAGCCGCGGUAAUACGUAGGGUGCAAGCGUUAAUCGGAAUUACUGGGCGUAAAGCGUGCGGCAGGCGGUUUGCUAAGACCGAUGUGAAAUCCCCGGGCUCAACCUGGGAACUGCAUUGGUGACUGGCAGGCUAGAGUAUGGCAGGAGGGGGGUAGAAUUCCACGUGUAGCAGUGAAAUGCGUAGAGAUGUGGAGGAAUACCGAUGGCGAAGGCAGCCCCCUGGGCCAAUACUGACGCUCAUGCACGAAAGCGU
rnacentral:rRNA from 1 species